GCCAAGGCUAAAAAUGUGCCUGCGUGGUUUGGUUUGGCUCUUGUAAUCCCAUCUUCUGUUAUAUAAAGAGCAUGUCACAGUCACUGCCGGUCCUAGAAUGAGAAGACUUGUGGAGUGGACUUGAAUCCCGCUCACAGCCUUGAGCCAAGCCCAGCUGAUUCUAGUUGAAGCCAGAGCCCCACAGCUGAACCUGCAACCUAUGAGUAGAGAAUCAACGCUUGUUGAGAUACACACAGAAGACGGACAUAGAGGGGAGGUGACGUGAAGGUGGAGGCAGAUAUGGGAUUUGUGACCACGAGCCAAGGAAGCCAAGGAAUGUGGACAGCCACCAGGAGCUGGAACAGGCAGGGAAGGGUUCUUCCCUAGAGUCUCCAGAAGCCUAGCCUGCUGAUACCCUGAUUUCAGACUUCUGGUCUCCAGAACUGUGAGAGAAUACAUUUCUGUAGGUUGGUUUUUGUUGUUGUUUUAAAACUUUUAUUGUUUUUAGCAAUAAUCAUGUGUGUUCAUUUUAGGAAUAUGGAAUACACAAGUAAGCAGAUAAAAAAAAUCUUUUAUAAUCCUCUGUGGAGAGAUUGUACCUUUUGUCUUUCACCCUUCACGAGUUUUUAUGUGCAUAUAUGUGAUAUCCAAAUGUACUCUUACCUUUCAAAAAUGUUAUUCACAAUUGGGCAUGGUGGUAUGUGCCUGUAGUCCCAGCUACUGGGAAGGCUGAGGCAGGAGGAUCGCUUCAGCCCAGGAGUUUGAGGCUGUAGUAUGCGAUUAUCACAUCUGUGAAUAGACACAGCACUUCAGCCCGGGCAACGUAGCAAGACCCUGUCCCUAAAAACUAAAAAAUUAAAAUGAUAUUAACAUAUUACUUAGUAACCCUUUUUUCAUUUUAUAUCCUAUCAGGAACCUCUUUUUUUUUUUUUUUUUUUUUUUUACAAAUGAGUAAAUCUCUUCUAUAAAAGAGAUUUGAAGAUUGGUUCAAAUAUGGUAAACAAUGAGAUAUGGGUAAAUGAUGCAUCUGAAGCCACUAACAGCAACAGGUUAAAAGUAGAAAGAUGGACAAAGGUA
rnacentral:lncRNA from 10 species